CCCUAGAUAGGAGCGCGGAUCAGAGUUAGGUGGAGGGGUGCUUGUGUGUGCAGCACCAAUUCGUUCCCUUAAAUCUUAACAACUCUUGAUAGCACUGACCCAGUACCUGCACUUUUCUGAGCACUUUAUAUUAAUGAAUUCAUUUAAAUCCCCACUGCCCUGUGAAGUCGAUAUUACCUGGCUUUUCUUUUAAAUUAAUAAGGGUUGGAAUAGGAUAGAAUCCAGGCCGGUUGUGGACUUUACCACUUAAGGAAUGAGUAUUGGGGAACUUGCAGUCUGGAUCAGGGAUUUGAUGUUGUCAGACUUCCUCCCCCAACAUACAGUGAUGACUUAGGCCCUUGUCAACCUGCAGAUCUUCCCCACCUGGGGACCCAGGGCUCUAGGCAUAUUGUAUGAGGCUUAGGCAGGUCAGGCAGCCAUUGCCUGGUGAGACUCCAUGUCACUGGAGUCCUUCAUUUCUCAGCUGGACAGGUUUAGGGGUCAUUGGCUUCUUGGCACCUUGUGUGCCACGCUGGACUUUGGCCAGAUCCUCUGCUGGGCUCCCUGGCUGAAAGUGGCUGCCCUUGAGAACUACCUCCUGGGCCCAUAAGGCACCUUUGCCCUGCUGCCUGCUGUUUGAGUGGCUACUAGCUAUGGACAUCUUCCCCUUAUUGGGGGAGCCUGGCUGUACCUGGGAAUGUGUUCUGUUCCUAACGGCAGCCUUGGCUGACCAUGGUGUCUGUGACAGCAUCUAGUAUCUUGGAUUUGUGGAGAAUAGAACAGGUCAUCUUACCUAUGGGAUAUCCAAAUAUCCUUGGCAGUGGGAGAGAGUGCGCCUCUUUAAAGAUCCAGAGUCAUCACAGAGCACCAUGAUCUACUAGGGGCUGCAUGCAGGCUGUGUGGUCAGCAGGUAUAUGGCCUCUGAUCUCACUCCAAAAGCAGAGGGUAGCUUUGGAAGGUUUUUGGAGAUCCGAAAGACCCUCUGGUGAUAGGUGGAUCAGACUCCAGUCCUGCUGCAGCAUCCCCACUUAGCCCACUCUAUGGCAGCUGUUCUCAGGUCCAGGUUGCACACUGACCCACAUGUGGCCCUCCUGGGGCAGGGUACUUUCCUCCUAAGUUACUCUAUCCAGAUGUCUGUGGCCAUUCCUCACUUGUUAUUUUUGACCUUUUGUUGUUAUAAAUAACCUAGCUCUGAUUGUUUGCCUGAGUUCUCUUUUUGCCCUUUGGGUUAUUUCCUUGAUGUGUGUUCCCAUAAGUACAGUUACUGGGUCAGGGGCAGCAAUGCAACAGACAUGUGGUUCCCGGGACUUGUCUCCAGAGCCUGCUUCCUGGAAACACUGAUCCAGCUUCUGCAGCAACUGGCUCGGGGGAGUGCCCGCCUGCCCCGCUGCCCUCCCCCACUGGCCUCCUUUCCCUGAGCAGAGCAGGUGUCUUGUUGACCUUCUCAAGCUGGAUGGGAGCAAAAGUCUAACUCACAAGGGUUUGCCUGCUGGACGAGCCAAGUGACGUGUCCAGGGGGACCAUUUCCCGGCCAGUGAAGCCACCAACUUCUUUGGAAAUGCUGGGGGCCAUGUCCUCAAGGGCUCUUUAUUUCCCCAACACAACAGAUCAUUUGUACUCUUGA